UAGGGAAUAUUCCGCAAUGGGCGAAAGCCUGACGGAGCGACGCCGCGUGAGCGAUGAAGGUCUUCGGAUCGUAAAGCUCUGUUGUUAGGGAAGAACAAGUACCGGAGUAACUGCCGGUACCUUGACGGUACCUAACCAGAAAGCCCCGGCUAACUACGUGCCAGCAGCCGCGGUAAUACGUAGGGGGCGAGCGUUGUCCGGAAUUAUUGGGCGUAAAGGGCGCGUAGGCGGUCUCUUAAGUCUGAUGUGAAAGCCCCCGGCUUAACCGGGGAGGGUCAUUGGAAACUGGGAGACUUGAGUGCAGGAGAGGGAAGCGGAAUUCCAUGUGUAGCGGUGAAAUGCGUAGAGAUAUGGAGGAACACCAGUGGCGAAGGCGGCUUCCUGGCCUGUAACUGACGCUGAGGCGCGAAAGCGUGGGGAGCAAACAGGAUUAGAUACCCUGGUAGUCCACGCCGUAAACGAUGAGUGCUAGGUGUUAGGGAGUUUCCACUCCUUAGUGCUGCAGUUAACGCAUUAAGCACUCCGCCUGGGGAGUACGGCCGCAAGGCUGA
rnacentral:rRNA from 1 species